UACGUAGGGUGCAAGCGUUGUCCGGAAUUAUUGGGCGUAAAGAGCUCGUAGGCGGUUUGUCGCGUCUGCUGUGAAAGACCGGGGCUCAACUCCGGUUCUGCAGUGGGUACGGGCAGACUAGAGUGAUGUAGGGGAGACUGGAAUUCCUGGUGUAGCGGUGAAAUGCGCAGAUAUCAGGAGGAACACCGAUGGCGAAGGCAGGUCUCUGGGCAUUAACUGACGCUGAGGAGCGAAAGCGUGGGGAGCAAACAGG
rnacentral:rRNA from 1 species